rnacentral:sRNA from 1 species
CAACUACUUAAUCGCAAGGCUAAUACUU